rnacentral:rRNA from 1 species
UCCUGUCUGAAUAUGGGGGGACCAUCCUCCAAGGCUAAAUACUCCUGACUGACCGAUAGUGAACCAGUACCGUGAGGGAAAGGCGAAAAGAACCCCGGCGAGGGGAGUGAAAAAGAACCUGAAACCGUGUACGUACAAGCAGUGGGAGCACAGGUUUACCUGUGUGACUGCGUACCUUUUGUAUAAUGGGUCAGCGACUUAUAUUCUGUAGCAAGGUUAACCGMAUAGGGGAGCCGSAGGGAAACCGAGUCUUAAUUGGGCGUUAAGUUGCAGGGUAUAGACCCGAAACCCGGUGAUCUAGCCAUGGGCAGGUUGAAGGUUGGGUAACACUAACUGGAGGACCGAACCGACUAAUGUUGAAAAAUUAGCGGAUGACCUGUGGCUGGGGGUGAAAGGCCAAUCAAAC